CAACGCUCCUCAAUGACAGUUCAAGAUAAACAAUCCAAAAAAAUGGAUUCGUAUCAGCUGUUCAGUCCGUUCAGUCGCUUCUGGAAUUGUGUAAAUAGACAAAAAAAAGUUUUCCUGCUACUAAUAUAUAAGAAUGAAAAACUUCGACGAUCAACAUUCCCAAUAACAGCGACAACUCAAAAAGCUGAAACACUGUUGAAUCGGGAUACCAUUCACGUCACUUUUUUCUCUUCUGACAACGGCACCGAUUCCGCCGAACCGAAGUACCAAAGAAGGAAGUAACUCUCCCUAGAGCGCCCUCUCGCAAUGAGCGACAGGAUAAGUCCAACCGUGUCCAAAUAGUUUCGUCUAAUGAGACUUGAACCGCUCCUCAUUCACGAUACUGAAAUACUUCCGCAAGUGUGCAUCGUUCUGUCCGGAUGGAACGACGUGUCCUGUUCCGGGAGGCAAAUUGUUGUUGCCCGGUUGAGCGUGAUUCAAUACAUUUGUCAGAGGACUUCGUCCCUUGUGUUUGCUACUGUACAGGGACAUCGUGUUCACGCUAACCGGGUCCGCCUUCCAUUCUUUCUUUCGGCUGUCGUAUUCCUCGCUGAGUACUGCGAGUCCGAGCGGAGUCAGGUAAUCUUUUGUUUCGAAACUUCGCUUCAGUAGACGAGCAUGUUGCUGGUGGCCGAUGUCGAAUCGUAGAUUUAUACUGGUAAAAAAUACACAGAAUGGGCCAAUUAUUCGAUUAAAAUGAGCAUCAAGUGAAAAAUCGUGCUACAAUUUUCAAAUAUGUUCAGGUCGUUCAGGUAUCAAACUAGUCAACGAGCGUCAAUCGGCGCACCAGCUAUCAAACCACCAAAAAUGCUUCCAGUGACUUUACACCACUGAAAGCAAAGCAGAAAACCCGUUCAGGAGUGAUAAACAAUUCAAAAAGUAGAUGUUGUUUCCAAACGAGAUACAGAGAUUGUACUAUACUACAGAACGGAAAGAAUGUGGCACAGUAAGCAAGGUAGGAGAGGCAAUUGGCUGGUACUUCGGAUAACGAUGUUUUCAUACAGGAACGAAUCGUAGCGAUCGUAGCCUUGCUAAAAAGAUCAUGGGUUGCAUUUCUACCGUCAAGAAGUGGAUGAUGUAGCUGUAUCCCAUAUUAAAGAAUCUGUUCUCCCACCGAGGAAAUCGUCCCGGAGCCUUACGCUGAACUACAUAUGAUAUGAAAGGCGAUUCACAAUUACGACCUAGGACCAGUCCUGAACCAACGACACUUUACGACACGAUCAAACUUAAUCCUUCCAACUGGAACCUAGAUAUAUGGCUAAUACUGAUGACGAGAUGGUUGGAGCCGUAUGGAAUCACAUUGUUUUAUUUGAAGGUUUAUCUGAGGAAAGACUUACAACUUGCUUACAACGCUUGUGUAGAGUAGUGCGCGCUGGCGAAGCUGCAUCACCUUUGCUAUCUAUUUUGGAACCAUGAGACGGAACAAGUGGCUUGUUGUAGAUGACAUCAAAAUAUUAUUAUUAUUAUUUAUUCAGACUAAGGCCGAAGUGGCCUGUGCGGUAUAUAAGAGUCUUCUCCAUUCGGCUCGGUCAACUCGUGGUUCAUUCACCACCUCCACGUACCGUCCGCCAUCGGCACCCCACCAUAGAUGGUACGCAGCACUUUCCUUUCGAAAACUCCAAGUGCGUGUUUUGCUACGUUAGCAGUAAUAUUAAAUGCAUUUGUCCAUUUGUUUGGAAAUGUUUUCUACUGAUCUGUUUGUAAUCCUGUAGGAUAACGACAUCGGGUCAUAGACUUCAACGACGCCCUCACCGUGUUCAUUCGACAUAGUUGAAGUCAACAAUUGCAGUAGAAUUCUAUAGAAAGAGAAAAAUUGAUUUUAAAGAAAAGUGUACAGCGCGUUAACAAAAUGUACCUACUUGAAGUACCAUGAUCAUAUCAAGUCGACCAUUAGUUCGAAAUCGUUCCAAAAGUUUGUGUAAGUAUUUUUUUACAUAACCUGGUGGUAGCACGAACAAUAUGAUCUGGAACGAAAGAAGGAAAAAGAGAAAUUUGGCUUUAAAACCAGUUUUUUAAUGAUCAA